AUUGGCUUUGUAGCUUCAUAAUGUCCUCUGGGUUAAUGAUAGAAAAAUCAUUAUUGGAAAGGAAUGACAUAAACAAAGGAACCACUGAAGUGCCAGAGGACUGGGGGAGGAAGUGGGGGAGGGUGUGUGGGCAGUGAAGGCGGCAGGGAUUAAGGCUUCCUUCUCUACCCCAGGCCUGAUGGAGAGAAGAAGGCAUAUGUUCGACUGGCUCCUGAUUACGAUGCUUUGGAUGUUGCCAACAAAAUUGGGAUCAUCUAAACUGAGUCCAGCUGGCUAAUUCUAAAUAUAUGUAUAUCUUUUCACCAUACACAUGCCUCUCUGUCAAUUUCUCGUUGGGUGGGAGGCCAUACACAGGAACUGUUGUUGUAACUUGCCCACUGCUUGGGCAAGACUCCUGUUCUGCUUAUCCUUUUGAAACUCACCCUGCCACUCACUCCUCCAUCCUUGAUCAUUCCAGAGAUCUUUGUGACUAGCGUUAGUGUCCUAGGAAAACCAGAACUCAGAGCUUGCCUCCAUGGUUGAGGGUAACAAAAAGCUUUACAAGAACUCCUUUCAUCCCUCGAAGAGGCUGUGUGUGAAACCAGUGCCCAGAGUUUGAAGCACGUUAGCAUCCAUUUCAGGGGAGUGUGGGUUGGCUGGCUUUCCAGUAGCAUUUUGUCCUCACACACCCAUUCGCUAUGUCCAACCGGUCUGUCUGCUUCCCUCACCCCUUGCCCAAUAAAGGACAAGGACUUCAGA